rnacentral:rRNA from 1 species
AUUGAACGCUGGCGGCAGGCCUCACACAUGCAAGUCGAACGAGUGGCGGACGGGUGAGUGAUGUCUGGGAAACUGCCUGAUGGAGGGGGAUAACUACUGGAAACGGUAGCUAAUACCGCAUACCAUCAGAUGUGCCCCAAUUGGAUUAGCUAGUUGGUUGGGUAACGGCGCACCAAGGCGACGAUCCCUAGCUGGUCUGAGAGGAUGACCAGCCACACUGGAACUGAGCUACGGUCCAGACUCCUACGGGAGGCAGCAGUGGGGAAUAUUGCACAAUGGGCGCAAGCCUGAUGCAGCCAUGCCGCGUUUAUGAAGAAGUCCUUCGGGUUGUAAAGUACUUUCAGCGGGGAGGCGUUACCCGCAGAAGAAGCACCGGCUAACUCCGUGCCAGCCGCCGCGGUAAUUC